AUUGAACGCUGGCGGCAGGCCUAACACAUGCAAGUCGAGCGGAUGAAGGGAGCUUGCUCCUGGAUUCAGCGGCGGACGGGUGAGUAAUGCCUAGGAAUCUGCCUGGUAGUGGGGGAUAACGUCCGGAAACGGGCGCUAAUACCGCAUACGUCCCGAGGGAGAAAGGGGGGGAUCUUCGGACCUCACGCUAUCAGAUGAGCCUAGGUCGGAUUAGCUAGUUGGUGGGGUAAAGGCCUACCAAGGCGACGAUCCGUAACUGGUCUGAGAGGAUGAUCAGUCACACUGGAACUGAGACACGGUCCAGACUCCUACGGGAGGCAGCAGUGGGGAAUAUCGGACAAUGGGCGAAAGCCUGAUCCAGCCAUGCCGCGUGUGUGAAGAAGGUCUUCGGAUUGUAAAGCACUUUAAGUUGGGAGGAAGGGCAGUAAGUUAAUACCUUGCUGUUUUGACGUUACCAACAGAAUAAGCACCGGCUAACUUCGUG
rnacentral:rRNA from 1 species